GACGAACGCUGGCGGCGUGCUUAACACAUGCAAGUCGAACGGAAAGGCCCUGCUUUUGUGGGGUGCUCGAGUGGCGAACGGGUGAGUAACACGUGAGUAACCUGCCCUUGACUUUGGGAUAACUUCAGGAAACUGGGGCUAAUACCGGAUAGGAGCUCCUGCUGCAUGGUGGGGGUUGGAAAGUUUCGGCGGUUGGUGAUGGACUCGCGGCUUAUCAGCUUGUUGGUGGGGUAGUGGCUUACCAAGGCUUUGACGGGUAGCCGGCCUGAGAGGGUGACCGGCCACAUUGGGCCUGAGAUAAGACCCAGACUCGUACGGUAGGCAGCGGUGGAGAAUAUUGCACAGUGGGCGGAAGCCUGAUGCAGCAACGCCGCGUGCGGGAUGACGGCCUGCGGGUUGUAAACCGCUUUCGCCUGUGACGAAGCGUGAGUGACGGUAAUGGGUAAAGAAGCACCGGCUAACUACGUG
rnacentral:rRNA from 1 species